AACGAACGCUGGCGGCAGGCCUAACACAUGCAAGUCGAGCGAACCCUUCGGGGUUAGCGGCGGACGGGUUAGUAACGCGUGGGAAUAUACCCUUUGGUACGGAAUAGCCUCGGGAAACUGAGAGUAAUACCGUAUGUGCCCUUCGGGGGAAAGAUUUAUCGCCAAAGGAUUAGCCCGCGUUGGAUUAGGUAGUUGGUGGGGUAAUGGCCUACCAAGCCUACGAUCCAUAGCUGGUUUGAGAGGAUGAUCAGCAACACUGGGACUGAGACACGGCCCAGACUCCUACGGGAGGCAGCAGUGGGGAAUCUUAGACAAUGGGCGCAAGCCUGAUCUAGCCAUGCCGCGUGGACGAUGAAGGCCUUAGGGUUGUAAAGUCCUUUCAGAUGGGAAGAUAAUGACGGUACCAUCAGAAGAAGCCCCGGCUAACUCCGUGCCAGCAGCCGCGGUAAAGUAUCGU
rnacentral:rRNA from 1 species